AUUGAACGCUGGCGGCAGGCCUAACACAUGCAAGUCGAGCGGAGCGGCGGACGGGUGAGUAAUGCCUAGGAAUCUGCCUGGUAGUGGGGGAUAACGUCCGGAAACGGGCGCUAAUACCGCAUACUAUCAGAUGAGCCUAGGUCGGAUUAGCUAGUUGGUGGGGUAAAGGCCUACCAAGGCGACGAUCCGUAACUGGUAUGAGAGGAGGAUCAGUCACACUGGAACUGAGACACGGCCCAGAAUCCUCAGGGAGCCAGCAGUGGGGAAUAUUGGACAAAUGGCGAAAGCCUGCUCCCGCCAUGCCGCGUGUGUGAAGAAGGUCUUCGGAUUGUAAAGCCCUUUAAGUUGGUACGCGUUACCAACAGAAUAAGCACCGGCUAACUUCGUGCCAGCCGCCGAGGUAAUAC
rnacentral:rRNA from 1 species